CGGGUGAGUAAUGCGUGACCAACCUGCCCCAUGCUCCAGAAUAGCUCUUGGAAACGGGUGGUAAUGCUGGAUGCUCCAACUUGACGCAUGUCUUGUUGGGAAAGUGUUUUAGUGGCAUGGGAUGGGGUCGCGUCCUAUCAGCUUGUAGGCGGGGUAAUGGCCCACCUAGGCUUCGACGGGUAGCCGGCCUGAGAGGGCGGACGGCCACAUUGGGACUGAGAUACGGCCCAGACUCCUACGGGAGGCAGCAGGC
rnacentral:rRNA from 1 species